rnacentral:rRNA from 1 species
UACGAAGGGAGCUAGCGUUGUUCGGAAUUACUGGGCGUAAAGCGCACGUAGGCGGGUCGUUAAGUCAGGGGUGAAAUCCCGGAGCUCAACUCCGGAACUGCCUUUGAUACUGGCGAUCUAGAGAUCGAGAGAGGUGAGUGGAAUUCCGAGUGUAGAGGUGAAAUUUCGUAGAUAUUCGGAAGAACACCAGUGGCGAAGGCAACUAUUUAUGAUCGACU